CAGCCGCCGCGGUAAUACAGAGGGUGCAAGCGUUAAUCGGAAUUACUGGGCGUAAAGCGCGCGUAGGUGGUUUGUUAAGUUGGAUGUGAAAUCCCCGGGCUCAACCUGGGAACUGCAUCCAAAACUGGCAAGCUAGAGUAUGGUAGAGGGUGGUGGAAUUUCCUGUGUAGCGGUGAAAUGCGUAGAUAUAGGAAGGAACACCAGUGGCGAAGGCGAGCACCUGGACUGAUACUGACACUGAGGUGCGAAAGCGUGGGGAGCAAACAGGAUUAGAUACCCCAGUAGUCCCUGUCUCUUAUAC
rnacentral:rRNA from 1 species